GCAGGACCUCUUACAUUCAGCUGAUUCUAUUAUGUGCUUCUAAUUUGCAAAAAAAAAAAUUGUUUGUUCUUAUUUGUUGUGUUACUGAGCAGAAGCUGGAGGACUUCUUGAUAUCAGAAUCCAUGGAGACUUGAAAAGAAACAGUGUGAAUGCAGGAUGGAUGCUGUCUGCCUGAAGCUUGUGAAACAACCUUUCAGGUGGAAUUUAAUCAUGACUUCAAAUAUCCUGGGGCUUUCCGAGGAGCACAAGGGAUGCCACCUCUUUCCUAAAUGUCAAAGAAGAUAGCUCAGAGGACCUGUCCUUUCUGAAGACUAGCAAGAUUACUUGGUCCCUAAAAUUGAGGAGUGAUGACUUUGAUUCUGAUUGUCUGUCUGUAAAUUAUUUCUCUGCUGAAGGACCUUUCAUUUGUUGGAUGGCUUUCAUGGAGGAUGCUGUUGCUGCUAAACCCAAUACAGCCAAAGAAACAAUGGCCUCACUGCUAGAUGAACCAAGGGCACGAACGCUUGUCUGCACUAAUUCCAUCAACAAGGACAACAUCAUCAAACUAGAAGACCUGUGCCUCACCCCCACCUUCAUUUACCUAUCCCCUUCCAAGCUAUAUUUCCCCCAGCCCCAUCCCCCUCCCGUUUAUC